UACGGAGGGUGCAAGCGUUAAUCGGAAUUACUGGGCGUAAAGCGUGCGUAGGCGGUUCGUUAAGUCUGUUGUGAAAGCCCCGGGCCCAACCUGGGAAUGGCAAUGGAUACUGGCGAGCUAGAGUGUGUCAGAGGAUGGUGGAAUUCCCGGUGUAGCGGUGAAAUGCGUAGAGAUCGGGAGGAACAUCAGUGGCGAAGGCGGCCAUCUGGGACAACACUGACGCUGAGGCACGAAAGCGUGGGGAGCAAACAGG
rnacentral:rRNA from 1 species